rnacentral:rRNA from 1 species
GACGAACGCUGGCGGCGUGCUUAACACAUGCAAGUCGAACGAGAAUCGAUGGAAAGAGACUUCGGUCAAUGGAAGUCGAGGACAGUGGCGGACGGGUGAGUAACGCGUGAGGAACCUGCCUUUCAGAGGGGGACAACAGUUGGAAACGACUGCUAAUACCGCAUGAUGCAGCGGAGUCGCAUGGCUCUGCUGCCAAAGAUUUANCGCUGAAAGAUGGCCUCGCGUCUGAUUAGCUAGUUGGUAGGGUAACGGCCUACCAAGGCGACGAUCAGUAGCCGGUCUGAGAGGAUGAACGGCCGCAUUGGGACUGAGAUACGGCCCAGACUCCUACGGGAGGCAGCAGUGGGGAAUAUUGGGCAAUGGGGGAAACCCUGACCCAGCAACGCCGCGUGAAGGAAG